UGCCGCGUGAGUGAAGAAGGCCUUCGGGUUGUAAAGCUCUUUCGGCGGGGAAGAAAUGGCAACGGCUAAUAUCCGUUGUUGAUGACGGUACCCGCAUAAGAAGCACCGGCUAACUACGUGCCAGCAGCCGCGGUAAUACGUAGGGUGCGAGCGUUAAUCGGAAUUACUGGGCGUAAAGCGUGCGCAGGCGGUUUCGUAAGACAGACGUGAAAUCCCCGGGCUCAACCUGGGAACUGCGUUUGUGACUGCGAGGCUAGAGUACGGCAGAGGGGGGUAGAAUUCCACGUGUAGCAGUGAAAUGCGUAGAGAUGUGGAGGAAUACCGAUGGCGAAGGCAGCCCCCUGGGUUAGUACUGACGCUCAUGCACGAAAGCGUGGGGAGCAAACAGGAUUAGAUACCCUGGUAGUCCACGCCCUAAACGAUGUCAACUAGGUGUUGGAAGGGUUAAACCUUUUAGUACCGCAGCUAACGCGUGAAGUUGACCGCCUGGGGAGUACGGCCGCAAGGUUAAAACUCA
rnacentral:rRNA from 1 species